rnacentral:rRNA from 1 species
UACGUAGGGGGCAAGCGUUGUCCGGAAUCAUUGGGCGUAAAGCGCGUGUAGGCGGCCUUGUAAGUCCGUUCUGAAAGUCCGGGGCUCAACCCCGGGAGGCGGAUGGAUACUGCAAGGCUCGAGUCCGGAAGAGGCAAGUGGAAUUCCCGGUGUAGCGGUGAAAUGCGCAGAGUAUCGGGAGGAACACCAAUGGCGAAGGCAGCUUGCAUGGGA